UACGAAGGGUCCAAGCGUUAUCCGGAUUUAUUGGGUUUAAAGGGCUCGUAGGUGGCCAACUAAGUCAGACGUGAAAUCCCUCAGCUUAACUGGGGAACUGCGUCUGAUACUGGAUGGCUUGAGAUUGGGAGAGGGAUGCGGAAUUCCAGGUGUAGCGGUGAAAUGCGUAGAUAUCUGGAGGAACACCGGUGGCGAAGGCGGCAUCCUGGACCAACACUGACACUGAGGAGCGAAAGCCAGGGGAGCAAACGGG
rnacentral:rRNA from 1 species